rnacentral:lncRNA from 1 species
AAAUUUAGUUUUUAAAUUGACGGUGAUAUAUUUAUCACAGUAUGUUUUAUUUCCAGUUGCACAUAUGUAGGCCCACUGAGAUCAUACUGUAAGAAAACACUGUUAGGGUAUUUCCAAAACAUAUGAGCCUUAAGUUUUAGCUUAAAGGAAGGUACACCUGAGAUAGCAUCGCCACUGCUUUUAGGUAUAGUUUCUUAUGUGACCCUUAGUUCACAUAGUUAUCCAUACAGAUUAAUUGCUCUGUCAAAUGCAUACAUCUCUGAAGGUGAAGUAUGUGUAAACCAGCAGGCUCAAGAUUUCAAGAUAAAGCCUUACAGACUUGAAUCAUGCUUACGCCCCAGGCUUACGGGUUAUUUUUUAAAAUCCUCUUCAGAUGCCAUCUGAGAACUUGUUAACUACUUUUGUUACAGACAAAUUCCUAUUUUAAUAUUGCAUAAUAAUGGUUUUCUAGUUAGUAUACUCCCAUUCUCCAUGUGAAUAUAAGAUUUUUAUUUCCAGUAUCUUGGACCAGAACAUAAAGCAGUCAAGGUAUAGUUUUAAUAAGGUCAUAUGCUAUAUAGAGUGAAUAUUAUAUAAGUUAUUAAGUGAUAUACUACAGACCUUUACAUCAAAACGUAGGUACAUCAGUGGUAUUUGAUAUAUAUACUUUUUCCCCCUUUUUCUAAUUUUAUUUAUAUUUUCUUAGAUGUAGUAUAUAUCCCAUGCUCAGGUUAGCUAUCAAAAGAAUGAAACAUUUUUGAUAUUUAGUUGCAAAUUUACAUAAAGCCAUAUAUUAUCUUCCUUAUGACUGACGAAACUAUUGACCUUAAUGAUCAGGUUGGUUUAGCACAACACUGUGUAUUGUAUUUAUGUGUGUAUUUCUGAAUAAGUUUGUUUGAAAUAUGUUUCCAAAAUAGGAGGGGUAGGAAAUUAAGGAUGGGAAAGACUUUCUUAGGUUUAACUUUUAAGGAAUGUACUUAAUGUAUUCAAAGUAGGAUUUCAUUUUUUCAAAAUUCAGUUCUAUGUAAGGUUUUUUGUUGGUUUGUUUUUUCUUUUUUUGUAAAUAAUAAAUUAGCAUUGUUUGGUAACUUUGCUUUUUUGAGGGUAUUGGAAGGGACAAUUUAUUUAUAUGUAAAGUGAUUAUUUCCAGUUAGCCAAGGUACAGAUUUGGUUUUGGCAUUUGAGAGGCUAUUUUCCUUGUCUUCCACCUUUCAAUAAAUACUAAGAUUGAUAACCAC